GGUGAGGUGGCCGAGUUGGUUAUGGCGCCAGGUUAAGGUCUCCUUAACAGGUUUCCUGGUGGGGCAACCCGCGCGAGUUCGAGUCUCGUCCUCAUCA
rnacentral:tRNA from 1 species